UCUCUCUUCCCACUGCCGUCAUGUCUAAGUCAGAGUCUCCUAAAGAGCCCGAACAGCUGCGGAAGCUCUUCAUUGGAGGGUUGAGCUUUGAAACGACUGAUGAGAGUCUGAGGAGCCAUUCUGAGCAAUGGGGAAUGCUCACAGACUGCGUGGUAAUGAGAGAUCCAAACACCAAGUGCUCCAGGGGCCUUGGGUUUGUCACAUAAGCCACCGUGGAGGAGGUGGAUGCAGCAGUGAAUGCAAGGCCACACAAGGUGGAUGGAAGAGUUGUGGAACCAAAGAGAGCUGUUUUCAGAGAGGAUUCUCAAAGACCUGGUGCCCACUUAACUGUGAAAAAGAUCUUUGUUGGUGGUAUUAAAGAAGAUACUGAAGAACAUCACUUAAGAGACUAUUUUGAACAGUAUGGGGAAAAUGGAAGUGAUUGAAAUCAUGACUGAUCGAGGCAGUGGCAAGAAGAGAGGCUUUGCUUUUGUUACGUUUGAUGACCAUGAUUCUGUGGAUAAGAUUGUCAUUCAGAAAUACCAUACUGUGAAUGGCCACAACUGUGAAGUAAGGAAAGCCCUGUCAAAGCAAGAGAUGGCUACUGCUUCGUCCAGCCAAAGAGGUCAAAGUGGUUCUGGAAACUUUGGUGGGGGUCGUGGAGGUGUUUUUGGUGAAAAUGACAACUUUGGCCAUGGAGGAAACUUCAGUGGUCGUGGUGGCUUUGGUGGCAGCCGUGGUGGUGGUGGUGGAUAUGGUGGCAGUGGGGAUGGCUACAAGGGAUUUGGUAAUGAUGGUGGUUAUGGAGGAGGCGGCCCUGGUUACUCUGGAGGAAGGAGAGGCUAUGGAAGUGGUGGACAGGGUUAUGGAAACCAGGGCAGUGGCUAUGGCGGGAGUGGCAGCUAUGACAACUAUAACAAUGGAGGAGGCGGAGGUGGCUUUGGCCGUGGUAGUGGAAGGAAUUUUGGAGGUGGUGGAAGUUACAAUGAUUUUGGCAAUUACAACAAUCAGUCAUCAAAUUUUGGACCUAUGAAGGGAGGAAAUUUGGAGGCAGAAGCUCUGGCCCUUAUGGUGGUGGCAGCCAAUACUUUGCCAAACCACGAAACCAAGGUGGCUAUGGUGGUUCCAGUAGCAGCAGUAGCUAUGGCAGUGACAGAAGGUUUUAAUUAUUCCCAGGAAACAAAGCUUAGCAGGAGAGGAGAGCCAGAGAAGUGACAGGGAAGCUACAGGUUACAACAGAUUUGUGAACUCAGCCAAGCACAGUGGUGGCAGGCCCUAGCUGCUACAAAGAAGACAUGUUUUAGACAAUACUCAUGUGUAUGGGCAAAAAACUCGAGGACUGUAUUUGUGACUAAUUGUAUAACAGGUUAUUUUAGUUUCUGCUCUGUGGAAAGUGUAAAGCAUUCCAACAAAGGGUUUUAAUGUAGAUUUUUUUUUUGUACCCAUGCUGUUGAUUGCUAAAUGUAAUAGUCUGAUCAUGAUGCUGAAUAAAUGUGUCUUUUUUUUUUUUUUUAAAUGUGCUGUGUAAAGUUAGUCUACUCUGAAGCCAUUUUGGUAAACUUUCCAAAAGUGUGAAGCUAGAAUUCCGUCAGGGUGAUGCCAGGUUCUAUUUGAAAUUCAUUUACAACCUGCUUGGGUGAAGAAGCCAUUGUCUUCAGAAACCUUGGUGUAGUUGAACUGAGGGUUACUGUUGUGACCUGAAGCUCACCAUUUAAAGGGGUCAUCCAAGGAAAAUCAUGGAAUUAUUGGUUAUAAGGGUGAUUGUUGGCAUAUCCUAUGCAAUAUAUCUAAAUUGAAUAAUGGUACCAGAUAAAAUUACAGAUGAGAAUGAAGCUUGUGUAUCUACCAUCAUCAUGUGUAAUCAAUAAACGAUUUAAUUCUCUU